UACGUAGGGGGCAAGCGUUGUCCGGAUUUAUUGGGCGUAAAGAGCGUGUAGGCGGCUAGGUAGGUCCGUUGUGAAAACUCGAGGCUCAACCUCGAGACGCCGGUGGAAACCAUCUAGCUAGAGUCCGGAAGAGGAGAGUGGAAUUCCUGGUGUAGCGGUGAAAUGCGCAGAUAUCGGAAGGAACGCCGGUGGCGAAAGCGGCGUGCUGGACCCUUUCUGACGCUGAGGCGCGAAAGCCAGGGGAGCGAACGGG
rnacentral:rRNA from 1 species